UACAGAGGUCUCAAGCGUUGUUCGGAUUCAUUGGGCGUAAAGGGUGUGUAGGUGGCGCGCUAAGUCGGGUGUGAAAUUUCGGAGCUUAACUCCGAAGCUGCAUUCGAUACUGGCGUGCUUGAGGACUGGAGAGGAGACUGGAAUUCAUGGUGUAGCAGGGAAAUGCGUAGAGAUCAUGAGGAAGACCAGUGGCGAAGGCGGGUCUCUGGACAGUUCCUGACACUGAGACACGAAGGCCAGGGGAGCAAACGGG
rnacentral:rRNA from 1 species